rnacentral:misc_RNA from 1 species
AUGGAUGUUGGGAAUGUCGCUCAUGAAACACUGAGUGCUCCCACAACUAUUACCACACACACUUUGUGAACCUUUUCUUUUCGUGAAGGUCUUUCGGGACUGGAUCGAGAGAAACACUUGUGAUUUAAACCAGUCUAGAAUGUUUCAUUCAAUUGAAUCAAAUGUUGAAA